rnacentral:lncRNA from 1 species
UCGAUGUCGUCCAUUAAACAAAUCGGAAGCUUCGUCGGGUUGUUCAACGGUAGUAGACUUCAAUACAGCUUCAGAUGGAGUUCUCGGAGUUUUAACCACUGGUUCGACAUCCACAAAGAAGACCUUCAAAUUCGAUUACGUUUUCACACCAAAAGACAAUCAAGGUUCGUUCACUCAAAAACCUAAUUAGAUAACAAAUCAAUUCAAUGAUUUUGAAUUUCGAUUCAAUUUCGUUCGUGUACCUUAACCAGACGACGUUUUCGCGCAAGCUUCACCACUUGUAACUUCCGUUUUGGACGGAUACAACGUAUGCAUAUUUGCGUACGGACAAACCGGAACAGGGAAGACGUUCACCAUGGAAGGCACUUCUGGCAACCGCGGCGUCAAU